rnacentral:rRNA from 1 species
UACGAAGGGGGCUAGCGUUGUUCGGAAUUAGCUGGGCGUAAAGGGCGCGUAGGCUGUGCUGUAAGUCAGGCGUGAAAGCCCCCGGGCUCAACCUGGGAAUUGCGCUUGAUUACUGCGGCGCUGGAAGGUGGGGAGAGGAUGGCGGAAUUCCCAGUGUAGAGGUGAAAUUCGUAGAUAUUGGGAAGAACACCGGUGGCGAAGGCGGCCAUCUGGCCCAUUUUUGACG